rnacentral:rRNA from 1 species
GACGAACGCUGGCGGCGUGCUUAACACAUGCAAGUCGAACGGUAAGGCCCUUCGGGGUACACGAGUGGCGAACGGGUGAGUAACACGUGGGUGAUCUGCCCUGCACUUCGGGAUAAGCCUGGGAAACUGGGUCUAAUACCGGAUAGGACUCCGGACUGCAUGGUCUGGGGUGGAAAGCUUUUGCGGUGUGGGAUGGGCCCGCGGCCUAUCAGCUUGUUGGUGGGGUGAUGGCCUACCAAGGCGACGACGGGUAGCCGGCGUGAGAGUGUGACCGGGCAAACGCGGACAGAGGUACGGCCCAGACUCCUACGGGGGGCAGCAGGGGGGAAUAUUGCACAAUGGGCGCAAGCCUGAUGCGUCGACGCCGCGUGAGGGAUGACGGCCUGCGGGUUGUAAACCUCUUUCAGCACCGACGAAGCGCAAGUGACGGUAGGUGCAGAAGAAGGACCGGCCAACUACGUGCCUGCCGCCGCUGUAA